GAUGAAGAACGCAGCGAAAUGCGAUAAGUAAUGCGAAUUGCAGAAUUUCCGUGAGUCAUCGAAUCUUUGAACGCACAUUGCGCCCAUUGGUAUUCCGGGGGGCAUGCCUGUCCGAGCGUCAUUGCUGCCCUCAAGCACGGCUUGUGUGUUGGGCCCCGUCCUCCGAUCCCGGGGGACGGGCCCGAAAGGCAGCGGCGGCACCGCGUCCGGUCCUCGAGCGUAUGGGGCUUUGUCACCCGCUCUGUAGGCCCGGCCGGCGCUUGCCGAUCAACCCAAAUUUUUAUCCAGGUUGACCUCGGAUCAGGUAGGGAUACCCGCUGAACUUAAGCAUAUCAAUAAGCGGAGGA
rnacentral:misc_RNA from 1 species